rnacentral:lncRNA from 1 species
GGUACAUCCUGUCUAUAGCGCGUCAGUGUAUUUCUUGUAAAAUUAUUUGAUAACAUGGGUAUUUUAUUAAGUGUUUUGUAUGGAUCCCUCAUAUGUAAAAAUAUAGAUUUAAAAAAGAGUUUGUUAACUUGCUAUUCUGUGGUCUUGUUGCCUGAAACUGUUCAUGUUUUGCUUUUUUUUGUAAAGAUGUAAAAAGUGCCCAUGUGUCAUAUAUAUAUACACACACUCGCACACUCGCACGUGUACACACACACACUCAUGCAGACCUCACAGUUGACUUUACUUUGUUGUUGUGUAUGAGAGCCCCUGAGUGUGAGAGCCUUUACAGUCCAGUUUCCAUGUUCCUGCCCACCAGCCUUUACAUUACUGUUCACAUGCUCUCUCUCACAUACGUCACUCACAUACAUCACUCACACACACAGCCCUCACAUGAACACUCACAUGAACACGCUCACAUUCUCGCCGAACACUCUCACUUCAUCCUUUCGCUUUGACAAAUGUAAAGCCUUAUUUUAAGCUUCAUCUCUCUCAUUAUAACCUAAAUCAAGGACAAGUUUUUAGUUGAAGUUGCUACAGACUGGGAUGGGGGCAUCGUUAUUUGCUGGUCAUGUUUGCGUCACCUCAAACAACAUGAAUGCGUUGCUUUCAUGAGGUAAGUGAAGGGCAAGACUUUCCCACACAAGCCUCAAACCCUGCCCAGACCCAGACAAAAUGACGUUGAUAGUACAGAAUGAUUUUCAGCUGUUUUGUUGUUUCUUCCGUUGACAGUUUCUUAUGGACAUGUACCAGUAUUGGUAAUUACACCAUUAUUACAAAAAUAUGUUUGCCCUGUUGUAAAUGUUGUGUAACUGGCCAAAACAGUGUUGAGAUGCCAAAGUAUUAUGUCAAGAUUCUCAUAGUCAAUCCGUUUACAUGACACAAUGCUGUCUGUCCGUCAGUCUCAGUAUUCUGUAAAACUGCCCCGAUUCCCUUCCCUGGAAACCUAGUUUACGGUCUGCAAAACGCAGCACUAUUUUAUACAAAAACUCACCAGUCGCCUUAACCAGGGAGUGUUGUAUCGAAAGACUUGUCUAAUAGGAUCUAAAAUCUGUAUGUAAGUAGGUGGUGUUUGCCAAGUCUAAGUGUACUACUGUAUUGUACUGUACCUCCAGCUUCUCCAACUCUGGGUAAGCAUGUCACCAUUUUGUCCCACAAAACAGAGUAGAGAAGCAAAAUGGCCACCUUCUUCUUUAGUGUGGCUCUCAAACUGAAAACCAAGGGAAAAGAAAUAAGUUAUUGUUAUCCGUUUCAUCGUCUUUUUACAGAAUAACAAGGUUUAUUUGAAAUGCCGAGCCAAAUGGAGGAGGGUUCGUAAAGUGCAGACAGGGGAAAUAAAAUUAGAUGAAAGGGUAGCUUCAGUUCUUAGACAGCAAAACAACAGUCUCAGCCAAGAGGCAGGGCCUUUUCCAUGUCAAAUGACCAAGUCAAUGCCAAACUUCAGUUGAGUCCAUAGCAUACCAAAUUGACAUUUCCUAAAGCAGUAAGCAUGAGUAAUGCCAUAAAAACAGCUCUAACUACCUGCACAAAAGUAAUCAGGAUUGCCAAUAUGUCAUACUACACAUAUAUCAGUGUUAGUAGAUAAUUUUGUCAUUAACGUGCGCUGAUCGUAGUCUCCUUAGGCUAAGACCCUUCAGGAAUCCUCUCUGAGAGGAACAUCUUUGCACUCUAAAUACAUUAGGUAACAUAAACAGACAACAGAGCUACAUCUACUCACGGUGCAGCAUAAUGUGUUGCAGGCGUAGAGGAUUUGGUUUUUCUGUUUGUUUUCGGUUCAUCCCUUAGCCAACUACUUAUACUUUGGGAGAUGGUAAUGUGUGGACAUGUGUGUGUUUUUACAGAACUUAAGCAUCCCCCAAUUCCCAAAUCUCUCACACACACACACACACACACACACACACACACACACACACACACACACACACACAGCGUGGGUUGGCACAGUGUAGUCUGAUUGAAGUUGCAGUCUGUUAGAUGUUUCUGAAAAAGCACAAGAGUGUCCUCCGCAGACAGACCGUUAGACAGGAGUGUCUGUUGAGUGCCUCACAUCUCAGGGGCUGUCAUCACCGAUGCUUGUUGUAAUCUUUCAAUCUUGUCACUGUUCCGUUCUCUGUUCUCUUUCUUUCUUAAUUAUCUAAAGUGCUAUUUAUCAAACAAUUACAUUUUAAAGGAAAAAAACAACUUGUAGUUUCUUUGCAUUUUGGCUUAUUAUGUCAAGUUUUGGGGGGAAAUGUUUGUUUUCUCUCUCUUUCUGUGCCGUAAAGAGCUUGUUGUCUGUAGAUUAAUAUCAUUUUGUUUGAUUCUAAAGGAUUUCAAUAGUUUUAAGUAUUGUCUUGAGAGAAGCCAAAGUCAGUGCAUUUCAGUGGAUUCUGUAAGCGUGAUGUAUGUUUGUUUGACAACACUUCGAAAUCUGUCAUUGGAUGGGAUUGAAAAAGUACAAAAAAUGCAGGCUUUCCUAUUUCUACAAAUGAUUGUACUUAUGCAUUUUGUACCAGUGAAACUUUUUAUACUGGAGAUUAAAGGAAACAAAAAAAACGAUUAGAAAACAAACCUGUCUGGCCUCGUGAUGUGGCCUGACCUUUGUUGACUGGUUCCCGAGUAUGAUUUAUAGCUGGCAUCAAGAAAGUUGUCUUUUGAUAUACGAUUUUCUAGAAGAACUUUGGCUUGGUUUCUUUAAUUAAUUAACUUCUUAUUUUUCCUUACUUCAGUGUUGUUCUUUUUGCAAAGAGGGGUUAGGCGAGUGUUGGUUUCUUUAUGGCUUAUAAAUAGUUAUAGCCAUUUGUCUAUACAAAAAAAAACGGUAAGUUUCAUUUAACUUCUGUAUUGUGACGUCUACAUGAUAAGACAAUUAGGAAUAUAAAUAUUUAGUCACCUUCAGUGGAUUAAUGUAUUAGUUUAAUAAAAAGAUAAACUAAUUAGAGGUUUUUGUUUUUAACUGUUUAGAUUUUUCUGGUUUCUCUGUCCUCUGUGAACUAACUGUGUAGCUGAAGCAGUCAGAAUUAUUUUUGUAAACGUAUGUUCUUGUGUGAUGCAGUUAUUUGCUUCUGUCUCCGAUAUUAAACCAUUUUUCCUAAUACUCGUCUCUCUGUGUGUGUGUUGUUGUUGUGUUCCAGUGGCUGUCUGAUGUCGUAACGUUUCACACAACCCCACGUUUCACGUCUCUACCUCUCCUUUUCUCUCUCAAUCUCUCUUUUCCUCUCUGGUGUUUUUGUUCCUUGUU